GGAAGUCCGGGAGAUCAGCUAACUACUCCUGAGUUUUCCGACUGCAAGACCUCUCUGCCUCGGUCAACUUUUUUGCUGUCCCUCCCCCUCCCUGGUGUGAUGCCCAUCACUGUGUCAGACAAGUCUCCUUCAUUAGACAGUCCUCAGGUAUAGCUAACCUCUCCAUUGUAAAUGGAGAGUUGGCAGCUUAGUUCAUGUCACAAGGUGGAGGCGGGCAGAUGCCAUCGACUCUGGAAUUUUCGUCCACGUUUCCAGUGAUCUUUUCCUUUCUUGGCAGCAGAAGCAGGAGAGAAGUCUGCCAGUCUGUCCCAAUUGCCAGGCAGGGCAGGAGGACAGAGGGCAGAAGGCCUUAGGGCUGUAGACCGAGCGUCCCUCCCAUCCCUCCACCUCCAGCCCCCUCUGCAUGUAUCACGGGAAGUGGCCAUUCCUCCGUCCUCGGCCGGAGCAGCCUCAGCGCCCAGAGCCGAGAAAGCGCAGCCCCUGUUACCACGUGAGUCUGCAGAUGUGAGGUCCCCGAGGGCAGCCCUUUCUCCACGGGGUCCUGGAGGAGAUGCCCAAAUCUGAACUCCCUCCUUCGCUCAGCACGAGUCACGGGGAAAUCGACCCACCUUACCCUUUAGCCAUUAUUUGGCAUUUAAAAAAAAAAUCCACAUUUUUCCUUUUUGACUUUUAACUUCUCACUGUCGGCCUGCUGAAAUGGUAGGCGUCUUGCUGGCUCAAUUCUGCUUCUCGGCACUGUUCUUAAGGUACAGAGAUGUUCUGUUCUUGGCCAGACGCAGGGUUUUGUUUUUGGGUAAGUACAAGUUCUUAGCCACUCACUUUUGUUGAGAUUUUUCAUGGGGGUGGGGAGGGGAAUGUCAGCGUUCCCUAAGAGAAAUUGUCCUUGCUAAAUACUGAAGCUGCUGCAUUUUCCCCCAAGAGCUCUGGGCAGGCUCCCUGCUUUGCAUGUGGCCAAAGUCGGAGGGUAAGUCCUGAGAGCAGCAGCGGGGCCCUGCCACAGGGGCACCUAAGCCCCAGGCACAGUCCGGGACACGUGUGAAGUGUGUGUGAAACCGGUUUGCUCACAUUCUGCGUUGGGCAACAUCUGCAGCCUGUGCACACACAGAGGGACUCUCCCUUAAGAGUCUUGUGCUUUCCCACACCCACUGAUAACGCCUUCCCCACCCUGCUGCACUCCCGACAGCUCCCCCGGCACCCCUCCCCCGCCCUCCCCCCCCCCACCCCGCCAGGUGGUGCACCCAGGAGGGAUUCCAGGGCCGCCACUGUCUUGCUGAGGCUUUCUCCUAUCAUCUGUUGGAUGUGUCCACUCCCCCUUUCCUGCUGCCCAGAGUGGCAGCUGUCUUCCACUGGGACCACUGCACUGGCCUCUUCGCUGGCCUCCUGCCUCCUUGUCUCUGUGUGGGUCUCUACUGACUCACCCUGUUUUCCUCUGCUUUGCAGCAAGGAUGAUUUUUCUAACUCGCUCCCCAGGGGAUGCCAGCGCUGCUGGUCUGUGCAGAACAUUUUGAGGAGGAAGGAACUGGAGGACCCCUGCUGAUGUCCCUAGCCUCGUCUUCUGCUGCCUCCCCAACUCUGCUCCAGCCACGCUGAACUUGUGCUAGCUUCCAGAAUACGUCACAUGCUCGCUCACCACUGGGCCUUUGCACAUGCUCUGUCUCCCUAGAGCACGCUUACCCUGGCCUACCUGGCUCCUGCUCCUAUUCCAGCUGAGCAGUGAAGGAUCCCUGAGGUAAGGACUCCAGUUGCCCUGAACUCUGUGAACAAGGUCAGCUGCACAACUGUGUGUCCUCAGGCCACCCAAAAGUCGUGUCAGAGAGCAGGGACAUUAAAAGGAUGAGAACUGUUUUCAGAAACUUCUUU